rnacentral:rRNA from 1 species
AACGAACGCUGGCGGCAUGCCUAACACAUGCAAGUCGAACGACACCUUCGUGACUGGUGGCGCACGGGUGUGUAGCGUGUGGGAACCUGCCCUUAGGCUCGGGAUAACUCCUCUAAAGGGGGGCUAAUACCGGAUAACUUCUGCUGACCAAAGAUUUGACGCCUUUGGAUGGGCCCGAGUUGUAUUCGCUAGGUGCUAGGGUAAAAGCCUACCAAGGCGACGAUCCUUAGCGGGGCUGAGAGGAUGAGCAGCCACACUGGGACUGAGCAACGGCGGGGAAUACUACGCGAGGGAGGAGUGGGGAAUACAGGAAUACGGGGGAAAGGCUGAUGCAGCUCGGCUGGGUGAGUGAUGAAGGUGUUAGAGAUGUACAGCUGUUUUAUCCGGGAUGAUAAUGACAGUACCGGGAGAAUAAGCUCCGGCUAACUCCGUG